rnacentral:pre_miRNA from 1 species
UGGGGGAGGCGGGAUCUUGGGCUGUGUCCCGGCCCUCAGUGCUCCCCGGCCUGUGCUGUUGGAUUCGCGCUCCUGGCGGCACAGCCACCU